AUGGUCUCCAGACAGACGCCAUCCGUCUUCCCUUUGGCCGCCUGCUGCAAAGACACUGUCACCGCCUCCGUGACAGUGGGCUGCCUGGUCACGGGCUACUUCCCAGAGCUGCUGACCGUGACCUGGGACACAGGGUCCCUGAACCAGAGAACCGUGACCUUCCCUGCCAUCCUCGACCCAACUUCUGGCCUCUACACCACCACCAGCCAGGUGACCGCCUCAGGCGAGUGGGCCAAGCAGAAGUUCACCUGCAGCGUGGCACACUCGGAGACCCUCAUCAAAAACAGCGUCACCGGAUGCCCUGGGCUGGGACGUGGGGGCCCGGGCUCAGGGAGGCCAACACUGUGCCUGCCACCCUCACCCCCAGGGUGCACCGUGGCCUACACCUCACCCACUGUGAAGCUGUUCCACUCCUCCUGCGACCCCCGCGGCGACUCCCACACCAGGAUCCAGCUCCUGUGCCUCAUCUCCAACUACACCCCUGGUCACAUCAACGUCACUUGGCUGGUGGACGGGCAGGAGAACAAGGACCUGUUCACGCACACUGCCCCCGCCAAGCAGGAGGGCGAGCUGGCCUCCACACGCAGCGAGCUCAACAUCACCCAGCGCCAGUGGGAGUCCCAAAAGACCUACACUUGCCAGGUCACCUACCGAGGCAUGACCUUUAUGGACCAGGCCCGCAUGUGCACAGAGUCUGACCCCCGCGGCGUGAGCGUCUACCUGAUCCCCCCUAGCCCACUCGACCUGUACGUCCACAAGUCACCCAAGGUCACCUGCCUGGUGGUAGACCUAGCCAACAAGGAGAAGUUACACAUCACCUGGUCCCGGGAGAGCGGGAACCCCGUGCAGAAGGACACAAUGGUCGCCAGUGAACAGUUUAACAAGACAUUCUCCGCCACAUCCACCCUGCCUGUGGACACCACCGACUGGAUCGAGGGCGAGACCUACAGGUGCACGGUGACCCACCCAGACCUGCCCAAGCCCAUCGUGCACUCCAUCCUCAAGGCCUCUGGCAAGCGUGCUCCCCCCGAGGUCUACGUGUUCCCGCCACCCAAGAAGGAGGAGGAGACCAAGAACAAGGUCACCCUCACCUGCCUGAUCCAGAACUUCUUCCCCUCGGACAUCUCCGUACAGUGGCUGCGUAACGAUGUCCUAAUUCAGACAGACCAGCAAGCCACCACCCGGCCCCAGAAGGCCAACGGCCCCAGCCCAGCCUUCUUCGUCUUCAGCCGCCUGGAGGUCAGCUGGGCAGACUGGGAGCUGAAGAAUGAAUUCACCUGCCGAGUGGUCCACGAGGCGCUGCCUGGCUCUAGGACCCUCGACGUACAAGUGUCCAAAGACCGUGGUAAAUGAUGCCCUCUGGCCCGCCACCUGCUCUCCCUCCCAGGGCUCCAUCCUGCUGGGGUGGAGGUGGGGACCAGCCAGACCUUCUGUCCGUCAUUGUCAAUAAACACUCCAGUGCCUGCUCAGA